GACGAACGCUGGCGGCGUGCUUAACACAUGCAAGUCGAACGAAGACGGCUGGUAGCUUGCCUGUAUCAUUCUGAGUCGCGCGCGUGAGUGACACGCGUGUUCAACCUGCCCUUGAGAGGGGGACAACAGUUGGAAACGACUGCUAAUACCGCAUGCGUUCGAACCUCGGCAUCUGGGGAGGAUGAGAGGCGGCCGCUACUGGUAAUCUAUCGCUGCAGGGUGGGUUUGCGAGUGAGUAGGGAGAUGGCGGGGUAAGGGCGCCCCAAGGGGAGGAUCAGUAGGCCGUCUGGGGAGAUGGACCGCCAAAUUGGGACUGGGACACGGCCCAGACCCCUACGGGAAGCAGCAGUGGGGGAUCUUUCGGAAUGGACGGCAGGUUGACGGGGCAACGCCGGGUGGGUGGUGACAGGCUUCCGGUUGUAAAGCUCUGGUAGUCGGGGAGAAAGGAGUGCUAGCGAAAAGGGAGAAGGAUUGACGGUACCGGACUAGAAAGCCACGGCUAACUACGUG
rnacentral:rRNA from 1 species